rnacentral:rRNA from 1 species
UGGUUGGAUGAAAAAUUUACUUUCUUUAUCUUAAAAAUUGAAAUUAAUUUCUGGUUUAAAAAGUUUAGAUUUUAUUAAAGGACGAGAAGACCCUAUAGAACUUUACUUUAUAUUUAAUGGAAAUUUAUUUGAAAAUAAUUUACUUUUAUUUUUUUAUAAAGUUUUGUUGGGGUGACAAAAAAAAAUUAAUAACUUUUUUUAUUUAUUUCAUUUAUGUAUGAUAUAAUUGAUCCUUUACUAUGGAUAAUAAGAUUAAGUUACCUUAGGGAUAACAGCGUUAUUAUUUCAGAGAGUUCAUAUCUAUGAAAUAGUUUGCCACCUCG